GCGAAGUCGUGGCCGGGCAGCUCCAGUUGCUAAUGUUGUUAUGCGUAGUGUAUAAGUAUAAUGUAGGCGUGUGCCGCAGUGGGUAGUCACCGUAAUAGUAUGUUCCUAAUCCAACCCACCACAUUUUUACACGACUAACCAAAAAAGGGGUGUAAUGUUAUUCACAUUCUCCCCCUGAAUAUUGUUCGUGGUAUUUACUUUUGUAUUUAGCACAAUUUUACACACGAAACUGUCAAUGAGACCAGCGGGUCUAUUUUGGUUGCCUCCUACUAUCGCGCGAUGUCAAAAUGUGUGCUAGUUAAAUUUUGUCGUUAAAGUCCCGUGGGUUCAGGUCCUUGUCUCAUUAAGCGUAAGCAUGAGCGAGUUGGCUGUGAGCAGUGUUGGCAGAAAUGGUAAUGCAAUUGAUCAUUGACCAAAACAAAUUGAACCGUAAACUGUAAUGUUCAAUUGAGGUAUGUAAUGUAAGGUUCAAUUUGUAAUGAUUAAUGGUCAGUUGCAAUUAACGUUCGGCCAACACUGGCUGUGACAGCCCGGGAUCGCGGAUAUGUUUUUGAAUUUUAAUUUUUUGUAAGU